rnacentral:rRNA from 1 species
GACGAACGCUGGCGGCGUGCUUAACACAUGCAAGUCGAACGGAAAGGCCCUGCUUUUGUGGGGUGCUCGAGUGGCGAACGGGUGAGUAACACGUGAGUAACCUGCCCUUGACUUUGGGAUAACUUCAGGAAACUGGGGCUAAUACCGGAUAGGAGCUCCUGCUGCAUGGUGGGGGUUGGAAAGUUUCGGCGGUUGGGGAUGGACUCGCGGCUUAUCAGCUUGUUGGUGGGGUAGUGGCUUACCAAGGCUUUGACGGGUAGCCGGCCUGAGAGGGUGACCGGCCACAUUGGGACUGAGAUGCGGCACAGACUCCUACGGGAGGCAGCAGUGGGGAAUAUUGCACAAUGGGAGGAAGCCUGAUGCAGCAACGCCGCGUGCGGGAUGACGGCCUUCGGGUUGUAAACCGCUUUCGCCUGUGACGAAGCGUGAGUGACGGUAAUGGGUAAAGAAGCACCGGCUAACUACGUG